rnacentral:rRNA from 1 species
UUAAAUUGAAGAGUUUGAUCAUGGCUCAGAUUGAACGCUGGCGGCAGGCCUAACACAUGCAAGUCGAACGGUAACAGGAAGAAGCUUGCUUCUUUGCUGACGAGUGGCGGACGGGUGAGUAAUGUCUGGGAAACUGCCUGAUGGAGGGGGAUAACUACUGGAAACGGUAGCUAAUACCGCAUAACGUCGCAAGACCAAAGAGGGGGACCUUCGGGCCUC